rnacentral:rRNA from 1 species
GAUCAUGGCUCAGGAUGAACGCUAGCUACAGGCUUAACACAUGCAAGUCGAGGGGUAGCAGGGUAGCAAUACCGCUGACGACCGGCGCACGGGUGAGUAACACGUAUCCAACCUUCCCAUAACUCAGGGAUAGCCUUUCGAAAGAAAGAUUAAUACCUGAUAGUACUUUUUCAAGGCAUCUUGAGAAAGUUAAAGAUUUAUUGGUUAUGGAUGGGGAUGCGUUCCAUUAGAUAGUUGGUGAGGUAACGGCUCACCAAGUCUUCGAUGGAUAGGGGUUCUGAGAGGAAGGUCCCCCACAUUGGUACUGAGACACGGACCAAACUCCUACGGGAGGCAGCAGUGAGGAAUAUUGGUCAAUGGGCGAGAGCCUGAGCCAGCCAAGUAGCGUGAAGGAUGAAGGUCCUAUGGAUUGUAAACUUCUUUUAUAGUAGAAUAAAGUGAUCCACGUGUGGAUUUUUGUAUGUAUACUAUGAAUAAGGAUCGGCUAACUCCGUGCCAGCCGCAGC